UUCCUCCCUGCAGUAUUUUCUGUGACCAACAUGAGGUUCAUCCUCCUGCCAUGUCUUUGGGGUUUCCAUCUGGAAGACACUUCUUUGCACAACUCCAUGAUCAAGGUCCAUAGCUGUUCAUGUUGCAAUUCACCAACUUUUGGAUGGGAGAAGUAUGCAUCGUUCCACUGAUUAUUGCUGAAGCCUAGCUUCCCUUGCAGGAGUCCUGCUGGCAGUACUCCUGGUGGACACAUUUAUUCUCCAUAAUGAUGCUGAGAUGAGUUCUGAUUCAGUUCUGGGUCAUUGUCCCUGAGCCGGUUCUGACCUGGAUGUGACAGCAUGGUCUUGAUGAAUGAUGAGCAACAGAAACUGGAUGGGGAAGGCUUGAUGGCUUUCAUCAUGAUUAAUGGGGAAAUAAAACAUAGUCAAG
rnacentral:lncRNA from 1 species